GAGGAGCCUGCGGCGGAUUAGCUAGUUGGUAGGGUAACGGCUUACCAAGGCGACGAUCCGUAGCCGGCCUGAGAGGGCGGUCGGCCACACUGACACUGACAUACGGGUCAGACUCCUACGGGAGGCAGCAGUCGGGAAUUUUGGGCAAUGGGCGAAAGCCUGACCCAGCAACGCCGCGUGAAGGAUGAAAUCCCUCGGGAUGUAAACUUCGCAAGAAUGGGAAGAAUAAGUAGGGGACAAUACCCCCUAUGAUGACGGUACCAUUUGUAAGCUCCGGCUAACUCCGUGCCAGCAGCCGCGGUAAUACGGGGGGAGCAAGCGUUGUUCGGAUUUACUGGGCGUAAAGGGCGCGUAGGCGGCCAGCGCAAGUCGGUUGUGAAAUCUCCGGGCUUAACUCGGAAAGGUCAACUGAUACUGCGCGGCUAGAGUGCGGAAGGGGCAACUGGAAUUCUCGGUGUAGCGGUGAAAUGCGUAGAUAUCGAGAGG
rnacentral:rRNA from 1 species